UACGGAGGGUGCAAGCGUUGUCCGGAAUCACUGGGCGUAAAGGGCGCGUAGGCGGCUCGGUAAGUAGGGGGUGAAAUCCUGCGGCUCAACCGCAGGGCUGCCUUCUAAACUGUCGAGCUCGAGCACGGUAGAGGCAGAUGGAAUUCCUGGUGUAGCGGUGAAAUGCGCAGAUAUCAGGAGGAACACCAGCGGCGAAGGCGGCGCUCUGGGCCGGUACUGACACUGAGGAGCGAAAGCGUGGGUAGCAAACAGG
rnacentral:rRNA from 1 species